rnacentral:rRNA from 1 species
AUGAUGCUUUUUCUCUCCUUCUUACAGACCUGGAAGCUACAACGGCGCCACCCAACGUCGGUGCUGCAACCAGCACCAGCCGGAGCUGGAGACGACAACAAACAGAUGUUGCAACCCGCACCUGAGAGAGCUACCACCGGUGAGAAGAAAAGCUUGAGCCCAGAUACACAAAGCUGGGGCGGGUACCCAUGGAAGCUGCAACCGGCGCCUGAGAAGCUACAACCAUUGUGGGAAAAGCUACAACAGGUGAAACAAAAAGCUUCGACCAGCUCGUGUAGGCGCCGACCUGCUGCACGGGAUGCUUCAACCAUCUACGGAAAAGCUGUUAACGGCACUCGACGAAGCUACAAGCAGCGACGGAAAUUGCUACAUGCGUCAUUCUUUCUUGCAGGGACAAGAGAGAAGCAGGUGUUACAACCCAUGCGCAUCGGAGCUACAACCGUCAACCCAAAAUGCUACGACCAGUGGCAUUUUUUGCUGGAACCAGAGAAAGAAUAG